GACGAACGCUGGCGGCGUGCUUAACACAUGCAAGUCGAACGGAAAGGCUCCAGCUUGCUGGAGUACUCGAGUGGCGAACGGGUGAGUAACACGUGGGUAAUCUGCCCUGCACUCUGGGAUAAGCCUGGGAAACUGGGUCUAAUACUGGAUAUGACCUUUCUCCUUAUGGGGUUUGGUGGAAAGUUUUUCGGUGUAGGAUGAGCCCGCGGCCUAUCAGCUUGUUGGUGGGGUGAUGGCCUACCAAGGCGACGCCGGGUAGCCGGCCUGAGAGGGUGAUCGGCCACAUUGGGACUGAGAUACGGCCCAGACUCCUACGGGAGGCAGCAGUGGGGAAUAUUGCACAAUGGGCGGAAGCCUGAUGCAGCGACGCCGCGUGAGGGAUGACGGCCUUCGGGUUGUAAACCUCUUUCAGCAGGAACGAAGCGUAAGUGACGGUACCUGCAGAAGAAGCACCGGCUAACUAUGUG
rnacentral:rRNA from 1 species